UGCUCAUUCCUGGAUACUGGAAAGGAUCACAUGACUUCAAAGAGUAAUGGUUAUUUUUAGAAGUAUGUGUGUGUAUGUGCGUGUGUGCACGUGAUACUUGCAAUUGAUUCCAGAGUUAUCUGUGGGGUAAUUGGCAAUACCUCCUUCUGUGGCUCACACUGCUUUAAAGCCCCUCCUGGAUCCCAGUCAGUCAAAACACUCAGUGAGCACCCACUCUGUGCCAAGUUAGUGUUCCCUGUAAGUGAAUGCGUCCCCCCCAUCCAGGAGGUCACAGACUUCCAGGAGGCCAGAGAAGAUGAAGGCAGAGGGGUGCACGGUGUGUGGUGCUGGGGGUGGAGGGGGGGUGGACAGCUCCCGUUGAGAUGAACGAGAUGAUUACAACAUUGACGUGAAAGCUAAUUAUAGAAAAAUUCAUCUCUCCUGGAAUAUAAACAAUUUCCUAGUUUGCAUCAACACUAAAUAACCCCUCUAAACAUCUGAGGCUGAAUGGGGUAAGAAGAGGAAUACAUUCCAUUCUUAUUAAAAAACAUCAAGUGAUUGUUUUCUGUAUCAAAUGCGGAAUUCCGGUUUUAUCAAACACGUCUCGGAGAAACACCCCAGCCUCCAAAGCAGACAGCAGUUGUAAACAUCUCCUCUUCCUGCUGAGAAGCUGCGGAAUUCCAGAGCCCUGACCUGCGAAAUACCAGUUCUCAGCUCCCUCCCCAUGGAACGGAAGCUAAGCCCUGAGGGAGGGCAUUUGUGUGUUUAGACCCUCUGCGUGAUGCCUAGUGCUGGACCAGGAGGGAGCUCAACCCACAAACCGCUAGCAAAGGGGAUGGAAAAAGACAGGACCCAGCAGAGGGGAACACAAUUGCUCACUAGCCCAGAAUCUGGAACUUGGAAGCCAAAUUAUGGUUAGCCACAUGGCUUUAUUAUUGACCUUCUUUGGCACGUAGUGCUUUAUGGGUACACUGUAUCUUCGCUUUUUCUGACCAGUCUCCAACUUCCCACCAACACUGCUUAUACCAAAAGAUGGCAAAUGGCACGUAUCCUGGCAUUUUUCUAUGGCUUAAGGCACAGUCAAGACUCUUGAUGAUGUAAAAGAAAAACAGAUGACUGCGUCUAUUUCCUGCCUGAUUACUACUACUUUAAAGGAAUGCCGAGGUUUUGUUUGUAAAAAUACACUGAUGAUUAUGUAACCAGUGAGACCUACAUUUAUUUCUACCUUAUUUUGUUUAGUGCAGGCUCAAUUAAACUUCACGGCCCUCAUAUAA